UACGGAGGAUGCGAGCGUUAUCCGGAUUUAUUGGGUUUAAAGGGUGCGCAGGCGGCGCGAAAAGUCAGCGGUCAAAGUUCCGGGCUCAACCCGGUGACGCCGUUGAAACUUUCGAGCUGGAGUUCGUGCGAGGGAGGCGGAAUGCGUUGUGUAGCGGUGAAAUGCAUAGAUAUGACGCAGAACCCCGAUUGCGAAGGCAGCUUUCCAGCACGCGACUGACGCUGAGGCACGAAAGCGUGGGGAGCGAACAGG
rnacentral:rRNA from 1 species